AUUGAACGCUGGCGGCAUGCCUUACACAUGCAAGUCGAACGGUAACAGGCCGCAAGGUGCUGACGAGUGGCGAACGGGUGAGUAAUGCAUCGGAGCGUGCCCAGUCGUGGGGGAUAACGCAGCGAAAGCUGUGCUAAUACCGCAUACGAUCUAUGGAUGAAAGCGGGGGACCGUAAGGCCUCGCGCGAUUGGAGCGGCCGAUGUCAGAUUAGGUAGUUGGUGGGGUAAAGGCCUACCAAGCCGACGAUCUGUAGCUGGUCUGAGAGGACGACCAGCCACACUGGGACUGAGACACGGCCCAGACUCCUACGGGAGGCAGCAGUGGGGAAUUUUGGACAAUGGGCGCAAGCCUGAUCCAGCAAUGCCGCGUGCAGGAAGAAGGCCUUCGGGUCGUAAACUGCUUUUGUACGGAACGAAACGGUCUGGGUUAAUACCCUGGGCUAAUGACGGUACCGUAAGAAUAAGCACCGGCUAACUACGUGCCAGCCGCCGCAGUAAAAC
rnacentral:rRNA from 1 species